UUCUUCAUUUUAGCAUCGCUAUCUGUUGUUUUAACUGGUUUCUUGUUCACUAACUGUUCUGUGACUUGUGUAUGAUUGCAGACUGGUCAUUGUUGGUUGGCUUCUGGUGUAUCUUAUGUGGAAUUUCUCUUGUCCUCCACAAGUAGAGGGGAGGAAAGUUUUAUGAUCUUGAGGAGUACAGAUUACAGAAUAUAACUAGGUUAUGACCUAGAGAGUUUGUAUAAUACUCUCUACACAGAUGCGGAAAAGCCCAGAAAAUAGCGAGAUCCCCAUGCUGGGGCGUUAGGGCCUUGACCGAUUCAAGGCAUGAUUCUAACAAUUGGGAUGAAUUGCAAUGUUGUGUUUUGCAUUUGUUACACCUAAGAAUUUGGGACUCUUUAUUUUAUGACCUGUGUGUUUGAUGAAACUGAGUAUCAGUUUCAGUGUGUGUACGUAAUGUUUUCUAGACUGAAUCAUCAUUCAGUAUGUCUGCAUAUUUUCUUGCUUAAAUUUUGGUAUAGACAACUUAACCCCAUUUUCACUGCAUGUAAAAAUGAAUGAUAAAUCAGAUCAAAACUUUUGUAAGACUGUCUCACUUUUAGUUAGAUCACUCGAAAAAGCCCCCUCAUUCAUGAAAACUAAAGAGAGUAUUAGGAAUCAAGGAAAAUUUGACAGAAAAACAUAAAAUGAGCAGUUAAUUACAAAUAAUAAAACAGUUGGUUUCUGAAGAUUGCAAUUGAUCAAAUUUUGAAAGGGAUGUGUGGGUAGAUUAUUCUUGUUAUGUUUUGAUUGAUUAUUGUAGAAUUGUACUCUUUGGGAUGAUCUGUUUUAGAUUAUACUGCGGAUUAGGUUUAUAUCCUAGUUUCCAAUUUAUCCGUUUUCAGCUGUCAAAGGUUUAAAAUAACCAACUAAUUACAAAAAGUUACAAAACUCAUGAAUUUCCCUGUACAAGCAAAAUUCCCACAGAACUUAGGCUACUAUAACUGGUCUUGAACAUAAAUAAAAGAUCUGGAAACCAGUUUAGUCUUUUAAAAAUGAUAUACAUAAUGUUUAACAAAAACAAAAUCUAAUACAAGUAGGAGUACCUAAAACUUGAAUAGAUGGGAACAUUUUUAUGAGUUAGAUAGUAAGCAUGAAUGUCCACACACAACCCCCUAUAUCCUGUUGAUUAUCUCUCACAGUCUGACUCUCUUAUCUGCAUUCAAAGGCUCAAAUCAAGGGUUCUUCAACCUCCAUAGCUCAACAGAUAAGGUAACUCAUUUCUGUAAUUGCUUGAUUGACAUCUGCAGGAAAAGAAAUUCGCAAGAGAGAGCUUAUGAGCUUUUAUAUGCUAGGAACUAUUUUUGGAUUAUACACAAGAAAUCCACAGGUGAGUGGAGUUUGAAUGUGAGGUAACUAUCUGUUGGUGCAGAUCACACUGCUUUAGAAGAGUGGAUAACAAGUCUGUCGAAUAUUGUACAGCGCGAAAGUGUUAUUUUCUGCAUAUACUGGUUCAGGAACUCACAAAUUUUCACUGAAACUACUAUUGUAGACUGGAAUUUGAGCUUAUUCAAAACAAAACAAAAAAAGUUGUCCUUCUGUAUAAAAUACUAUCUGUAUAAAAUACUAUGCAUGAAAAAAACGAAAAGAAACCUUCAGAAGUAAAAUUAAUUCAUGCUGGUGAAAUUUGCCUGCUUAAAAUCGAUGUAAAUUAAAGCAAGUGAAACUGGAUAACAGGAUGAUAACAGUGGUAAGCUCUCAUGUCACUAGUAUUCGCAACAUUGACAAGAACACCCAAUUACACCAAAAGAAAUUAAGACAAGAAGGGUCUACUAUAUGCAGAGAAGGAAAGUAAACAGGUAGCAAUCUUUACAAACAGCCUAAAAAG